rnacentral:tRNA from 1 species
GCCCAGAUGGCGGAAUUGGUAGACGCGCUGGACUCAAAAUCCAGUGCCUUCACGGGCGUGCGGGUUCGACCCCCGCUCUGGGUA